rnacentral:rRNA from 1 species
UACGUAGGGUGCGAGCGUUGUCCGGAAUUAUUGGGCGUAAAGAGCUCGUAGGCGGUCUGUCGCGUCGGUCGUGAAAACUUGGGGCUUAACCCUGAGCUUGCGGUCGAUACGGGCAUGACUGGAGUUCGGCAGGGGAGACUGGAAUUCCUGGUGUAGCGGUGAAAUGCGCAGAUAUCAGGAGGAACACCGAUGGCGAAGGCAGGUCUCUGGGCCACUACUGACGCUGGAGAAGCGAAAGCAUGGGGAGCGAACAGG